rnacentral:lncRNA from 1 species
UCUUAACGCAAUUCACGGGAACCCACUGGCAGCUUCUGGAAAACCAAACAACUCAUGGUGUGGAGCUCCUGAUUGGGGAAGGGACAGGGAUUGGUCUGUACCUACAUUUUGUUGCAAAAGAGCUCAGGACACUAACAGAGAGGAAAACUAGGGUGGUCUAGGUGGUAAUAAAAUCUCUAUGAAAGAAGAGUAUGAUUGUGUGACUGGGGAAUGGGCAGGUGCUGGACUCUGGUGCAGAGGCUGCCUGGCCUGCGCCACCCCACGGCUGGCUAGCAGACCAAGCUACGUUCUUUCAUUGGCUCCUAUGGGACACAGCAUGGGCCAAUGCCUGCCUGGCCUGCAGGAACCGCCAGUGUUGUUUCUAGCAAGGCUCCUUGGAAUAGAUGUGAACACACAAUGUAAAACUGCAUAGCAGGAUAAACACGUAUGGAGUAGGACAAGCUCACAACCCAAUGCUGACCACUACUGACAAGACCAAGUAUCCAAUCAUAACAGAUGAGACUUUAACAGUUUUGCAUAAAUACAUAGUAUUUGUAAACUAUUAUUAAGGCACUCAAUUGUAAAACAAUAAUUACAGUGUAGGAAAAGAGGGAGGAAGCAGCUAUCUUCUCAUGCAGCAAGGCCGACAGGAAGGACAGUGGAGGACUGGUGAUCUGCUUAUCGGGACUCCUGUCUGAGACAGUGACUGAAGCCGGGGCCCCAGCACCUAUGGCCAAACAAGAAGACGGCAGUCUCUCCAGAACCACCCAGGGCGGCACUGGUCACAGUUUCAUUCCAGAUCGUUAAGGCCAGGCUAUUAAGCAUCAAGUCCAGAAUGCUUCACUCUGCUCUGUGGACGGGACCAGCGCUCUCGUCUGGAUGUUGAUAUGCUAGCUGUGCUUCCAAAAAUGAAUGGGUAAGUUUGCCAGAAGCCAAAGACCAACUUGUACUCUCCAGAUUCCACACCCCACCCCCCAACUCUUUAGAUAAGAAAAAUUAUGGCUUUCAAAAUUAAAGUUUUCAAAAAUAUAUCAUUCUCAUACAUAGACGUGGUUAAAAAACCAACAAAAGCCUGUCAUCACUAAAUUUAAAAGAUUAUUUUGACACAAAAAUUGAUCUACCACAUGAAAUUUGAUUUGGCAAAACAUACCGAACUUGAUAUUUUUUGAGGCUAUGCUUUUGUUGGCUGAGGGAAAGGGGGAACAACCCACAGGGGUUUAGGAAUAAGUGGAUAAUCACCUUUUAAGGUGAUUUUAAUUGACACUAGUGGGAAAACAGCUCCCUAUAAAGUAAUGUAUGUAUUUUUAAAAAUCACUCCAAGGAGACAAAGUCCUGGAGGGAGGAUUUUUGCAAAAACUGUGCUCACUAGGUAAAAUAUGAACUAGCCUUGUUCCUGCAGAUCCCUCCUGGGGUGCUUUCUAGAAUAGCUUUGGGGAACACAGUUCUGGCCAAUGUUAAGAUGAUGGCUCACUCACUCACUUUCAGAAUUCAGCUGGUCCUUGAAGGCUUUCUGGUUUCACUGAGUUAAUCUGGCGGACCCAGCUGAGGGCAAGAUGGAAUUGUGGAAGAGCUUCAGCCAACUGUGUUCACCUGCCUUCCCCCAUGUACGCAACCUACUCCAUCCUGCACAGGUGAGGCUAGUGCGGGGCUGGCAAAGCUUGUGGUCGGGAGGAGGGAAGGGUCUGGCCUUAGGUGUCAGAGAGGCAGAGGGCUUCACAUUUACCCAGUUUCUUCCUACAGGGCCAUGAGCAGCCCUGUGUGGCAAAUCAAACCAGGGGUCAGCAACUUUUUCUACAAAGGGCCUGACAGUAAGUACCUCAGGCUUUGUGGGCCACAUGAAUUCUGUCACAUAUUAUUUCUUUUUUUUACAACUCCUUAAAAAGGUAAAAGCCAUCGCUUGAGCCAGGGAGGUUGAUGCUGCAGUGAGUCAUGAUUGCACUACUGUACUCCAGCCUAGGUGACAGAGCCAGGCCCUGUCUUAAAGAGGAAAAACCAUUCCUAGCUCACGGGGCCACAUGCCAUAGUUUGCUGACCCCUGAAUUCAACCUUUCUGCUUUUCUGCAAGCUGCCUCUCUCUCGAAAUGUUUUGACAUCUAGCUUGCUGACACCUUUGAUUCAAGCCUGGCGCAGCGGGACUGGCUGAGCUCACCUGAGUCUUAAAGGGGCCGCCCACAGAGCCAGGCAGCGACUACAGAUCCCUCUUAUACUCCCUCACUGCUGCUGGGAAGAGCUGGAGGGAAACAGGAAGCAGUAAUCUCACUGCAGGAAGGGGCAACUGUAGACAUCCGGGAAGCAUCCCGACAGUCCCGUUCCUUUCGGGGAAGCCGCUGAAAUCUCCUUUCCCUUCCCUAGAUGGGCCCUAGUGGACCUAAGCAUCUGGGCUCUCAGCAGGACGAUGUGUCUCAGAACCACCACCUGAGCCAGACACUUGAGCAAUUUCAAACCUAAACACAAUCAUGUGUUUCAGCAGCAGACACUCAACAAUGCAGGUGGGCCCUUCCCCUUGAGAUUUAAACUUCAGCAUUAGCAACAACUGAGAACAACCCAUACAUUUUCCCCACCGGACCCCUGUGCUGGUCAAACACGUAACAACACAACCAGGACAGGGCGCCUGCACCACCAUUCGGGCACAGAGUCAGCUCAACAACAGCGUGGGACUACUCAUCUGAUGACUUUACUCAGCAGUGCUUGGGGCUGUCGGGUUAAAAGUCUUGACACGUCUGGGGUCCCAACCAAAACACAAAACGAAAAAUUCUUUUUUUGGAAAAACGCUUUCAGACAGAGCAUUAUUCCCUGGAACAAGCCUUGGUCAUUCGUGUGUUUUAAAAAUAAAAAGCGCAGCGAGAACAGAGGUAGGACUUAAUGUUGCCAUCCGAGAGUUUUCUGCGAGGCCAAGAAUGAGCUAGAACGUGUGCCGCGGUGAGGCUGCCACCACCAGGACUCUUCUGCAGGAUGCGAAGGGAACAGUCUGGAUGUGUGCGCCUAUGUGUGCACGUUCUUCCUAAAACAUGGUUCUUCUUGAAGACACGGUGGGAGCGGAGUUUUGUGUCUCCUGGCCGGCGGCUCCUGGUUCUCCCAGGCCACACGACUGACAGCUCCCCUUCUUGUGCUGCAUGUUGGUUAGUUUCUUCUCCUCCUCUCUAUGGCAAGAGUAGGGGAAAAGUUAGGAUGACUUCACUCGUUUAAGGGAAAUCAAGAUGUAAGGGGUCGAUCCAAAUCCACAGUGAAAGUGAGGGAGGGAUCAUAUGAAAAUAUCCGCCCAGCCUGACGCAGCAAAAGGCGGGUCAGCUUUUGCUCAUCCACGAAGGGCUCUUUAAGUUUUCUGGGGCGGGUUUCCCUGAUGGUUUGGAGGUUGCAGCUGGGUCCCUCGGGGUUCCCUGGGGCUCAUGCAAGAAGGAAGAUUCACUCAAAGUGGUGUCCUGGGAGUCAGCGACGGUGGACGGGUCAGCCUCACUGGACAGGUCUUCCGUUGAGAAGGUGAGACUCCCCAGCUUGGCAAGAGAGUGUGAGCGCUUCAGUGGGGAAGAGACGGUGAGGCCCGCCAGCCGGAGCCGGGUCUCAAUCUCCUGUGUCCGCUGCUUCACCAGCCCGGGCUUCCCACGGACACUGUGGAUGCUAUCGCUGCUGGAGCUCCGGGUCAGGUUGGAGCUCAUGGAAGAGGAGGUGGGGGUGUAGCAGAUGGUCUUCAGAAAGUCUUUUGAGAAACUACUGGUGUGGUCCAGGCGGUAGAAGAAAGGAGGGGGGCUCUUCAGUGAGCCUCCUUCCAAUGAAGCGGGGGCGGCCUCUGACUUCUCAUCACUCCCGGCCUGGCUGGGCAUAACCAGGGGGCCCAGCUCGUGGAGCGCGGCUGGAUCCUGGCUCUCCUCGGGGAUGCUGGCCUCCAGCCUGCUGGCAGGGCCAUCCCUGGAGGGAGGUGCUGGGUCUGCAGGCACGCUCUUCAGCCGCUCUAGCUCUUUGGUGUGCUUGCGGACCAAGCCUGCCUUCUGCAGCUGAAUGAUGGACUCCUGGUGCUGCAUCAGGUAGCUGUUGGUUGUCGGCUUCUCAGAUUCAUUACUGAACAGAAGCCUCAGGUCCUUGGCUGGCUUCAUAUCUUUCUUGGGUGACGAUUCUUCCUUUAUUACCACUUCUGUGCUGGGAGGGUUCUUAUCACAGUGAGAAUUCUUCAAAAGGAGGGACUUUGGCAGGACUUUUGGGGUCUCUCUGGAAGGUUCCAAAAGGCUGGCUGGUGGCUCUAGGGCAGCUCCAGCCCCAGGGCCACUGGUGUCUGCCCUCCUGGAGCCUGCUGGUGGUAGGAACGGGGGAGGUUCGGUUGGGCCAGAGGCUGGCUUCUCCGGAACACGGGACCUGCUGGCCAAGUGGGCCACAGGGGAGGACGUGAUGUGGGGUAGGAAGGCUGGCUGGGUGCAGAUGGCGGGAGCAUUGGGGUCCUCACAUCGCUCCCUGGAGGCCUCAGGAGCCCCGCUGGCUGUAGGGUACAUGCAGUCGGCACAGGAUUUAUAGGAAGGCUUCACUUUGUUAAGGAUCCCAAAUAUAGCAUCAUCCUGCAA